AAAAGCACAAAAAAAAAAAAAAAAUCAAAUACAUCUGUAUUAUUAUAAAUGCAGAUUGCAAAGUCUACCAAUUCAGACUAGACCAUGGCGUUUGAGUUUUGACGAUUGUCUACUUUCAACCAACACGCACCAUUACUCAUUCAUAUAGUCAUACUAUAUAUACUUGAUGUACCACCGAUAAGCCUACACCACUUCUCAAAUUCUAAAGCUCAAGCCUUAUCAGCAAUUCAACAUCUUCUUUACAUACAGUAAGAUAUGAAUUCCCAAGCAACAAGCAGACAAAAGCAGUUGCAGGGUCCAAAGCCUGCUUCUCUAAUGAUUAACAGAAACUCCACAAAGAUCAAUAAGAAGCAGAAGCAGCACCUCUCACAUCAUUCCCCAGUUAUAGUGCAUUUGAAAUCUCCCAAGGUCAUUCACGUCAGGCCUGAAGAAUUUAUGAGUCUCGUGCAGCAGCUAACUAGGAACCCCGUAUCAGCAGCUUUUGCUGCUCCCAAAAUGGACAAGAGUAGCACCGUGGUUGAAAACCCAAUAGAGGAUUUUACUGGUUGCAUAGGUCACACUUCCAAUGUUCCUGUUGACUUCCAAGCUUUAAUGCACUUUGUAGAUUUUUUUUAAUCGCUCCCUCAGUUUUUCUAGCUAGCUGUUUUCAUAGUUAUUUCCAAAUCAAUAUAUCUGUGCAAAAACUAAAUUAACUUCUGUGUCUAUUCUAACCCAGACUUCAAAUUAAUCAUGAUUACAUGAGCUAUUUGCAUCUUAAAUCUAUCUGUUUAUAACCAAAGGAAUUAAUGAUCGUCUAUAAUUUGGAGGUAGUAGUAAGGAAAUAUACGAAUUUGUUCGUCAAAAUUAUAUAGACAUGGGGCUGUGAGAUAAAAGUAGAAAAAAUUGGAGCAGUGCCAUAGAGGAAAUAGUUGAAACUUGGCGUUAAUGACCAGAAAUUGAGUGGUCUCGAAGCGUUCAGGGACAGUGUUUGACCUAAAAUUCGUAGGAGGACAUACAUAGAUUUGAAAAUAUUGUGCGUCAAUCUAAUUAAUUAGUUUCUAACCAAAAACAAAAAAAGUAGUUGAGAGCUGAAUUGAAUAUUUCAAUAAUUAAUAAUUUUUAUCCGGUGGCCUGACCAAAUAUUACCUAUAUUUAAUCAAUUAAUUAAUAGCCGUCUCGUUCCCAAACCAAAAGACAAUGAUGUAUUACAGAGUUAGUGUCAAAUUUAUAAGGCGUAGAAUGUUGUCUAUUUGUGUAUACUAAUGCAAGAAAAUGAACUUCGAAGUGAAUAUGUUCAUUCAUUCUUCUCCCUUCUCAGUGUAGGAGGAUGUUGUACAAUCAAAUCGAUAACAACAAUAUAUACACAAUUAUUUUUAAGUGAGUCGAUAAAAUAUUUUUCUUUUUGUAAAACUAAUAUAAUGCGAGACUUUUUAAUUUGAUUAUGCUAUAAUUUUGAAUCAGAAUGUAUAUUUGUAUUAUAAAUUUCAAAUUUUAAAUUAUGAAAAUCAUAUUUAUUCUAAUCACCUUAAUUAAUAUAUUCGUGUAUUUUUUAUGAAUAAAAAAAUGGAAAAUAUUUGUACUUUAGGUAUACAAAAUUCCUGAAAUGCAUUUGCCUAAAUAAACUAAUCUCGCAAGGAUUUUAAUUUUCUUUUUAUAAAUAUGAACUUUUUAUUUUUCUUUUAAAAUUUAAAUAAUUAACAUUUUAAACUAAAAUAAAACUGAUUUAAUGUCCUACUAUAAUGUUAUAUAUGUUGCCAACUAUGUCAUUCCUACUGUAAUCUCCUCACCAAAAGUCAGGUUAAACAAGAUUACCAAUCAUGAAAAAUAUAUGUGACCUAGAGGAAAAAAAAUUCAUUAGCAAAUAGCAACAGUUUCAGAUAUUAUUGUAGUUUAAUGUACGUAUAUAAUUAGAUAUAAAUAAAAAAUAAAUGAAAUUUAUAAACACUUGGGUCAAUCUCAUUUAAGAACGCAAAAUGCAGAACAUAUAUAGACAUAGAUGAACUGCGAUGCUGUUCAAGGUAGUAAUAUAUAAACAAGAUAAAAGAUGCUGAAGAAAAUAAAAUUAAACAAGGGAUUGACACACCUUAUCCAUGAGAGGAACUCUCCCAUGUAUAUGAAGUUGCUCUUUCAAAAUAUUGGCAACAGAGGUAACCCAAUCUGUCACUGAAAUGCCAGAGACACAGUCUUGCUCAGACCCUCCUUGUGACAAAGUUCUAUC
rnacentral:lncRNA from 1 species